GUCAUCAGACUUCUGUGCUGCGUGUGUUGGUGGAGAAUUCUGGCUGGGAGUCAGGUUAGCUUAUUCUAAAAUUAAUUUACUCCCAAGAACACUUACCCAGUGGGCUUUCUUAUCAUAUUUCCAGCGGGAAAGAGGGAGUAAUGAUGCCCCGUUUCUCUGGAAACUCUGUUGGAUGGCCUGAAAGCAUGGAGAUUUACUUUCAUGGAGAUUAUUUGAACUUGGCUGAAAGUCAAGCGAGGAGCCUGCAGAGAGGCACACGGGGCUGAAGCGGCCGCAUUAUGCAUUGCAAAGAACCUGCACCAGGAGUCUUAGGAUUUGGAUUCUGAGCCUGGCUCAUCUCCGCACCGGCUGAAUGCUCUUGAGGGAAAUAUCCUUACCUCUCUGAGUGUCCAUCUUUAUAGCUCUAAAGUGAAAGUAGUAAUAUUCAGUUUGCUUUACUCAUAGAGAUGAUGUGAAGCUCCAGAAUGGUAAUAAAUGUGGAAGUCCUUUAUACAUUGUCCGCCCUACACAGAUGUGAGUUGUGAUGAUGCGAUGACUGAUGCUGUGAGGGGUGUGCAGAGACGUAAGAAGACAGAACUUGGCCCCGCAGCAGAAUCAUCACACACUGUUUCCGAGAGCAGAACUCAGAGAAGGGAACCCUUUCAGUUCACGAGGGGUGCUGACGGCUGGGGCAGAGUGAGGACGGUGGUCCCCUGGCGGAGCCGUUCCGGUUUACUGGUAACCGGGAGCCAGCAAGUCCUUUCUUUGCUGCCUGGGCUGGUUCCCGAGCUCACAUGAUGUAAUCCCUCCGGAGGACGCCUACCAGUACUGAAGAAGUGGGAUCCUUGGAAGAGAAUCUGAUGUUCUCAGGAUGGAGGUGGCCAGCAAAAUUUGGGUAUGUUGUAAGGUUUCAUUUGUAACCACAUUUAGGUGCAGAAUGUUGGUCCAUAUACUCCUCCUUAAUCAGUGUUCUUUCCUAUUCCGUUCUUGAAUCAGUGUCCAGCUUUUGUGAAAUCUAAUGCCCCAGGGCUUUUUUUUUUUUUUUUUUGUCCAACAAAUUCCAUGUUAGCC
rnacentral:lncRNA from 1 species